GAUGAACGCUGGCGGCGUGCCUAACACAUGCAAGUCGAACGAGAGAGGAAGGUGCUUGCACCAUCCAAUCGAGUGGCGGACGGGUGAGUAACGCGUGGGUAACCUGCCUCAUACAGGGGGAUAACAACUGGAAACGGUUGAUAAUACCGCAUAAGCGCACAGCAUCGCAUGAUGCAGUGUGAAAAACUCCGGUGGUAUGAGAUGGACCCGCGUCUGAUUAGCCAGUUGGCGGGGUAACGGCCCACCAAAGCGACGAUCAGUAGGGGUUCUGAGAGGAAGGUCCCCCACAUUGGUACUGAGACACGGACCAAACUCC
rnacentral:rRNA from 1 species